UCGAAGUCGCAUGCCAAUCCGCAUCCAUAGAAUCCACGGCCAUAGCCACAGCUGUCAUCUAAGCGAGAACGACUGCGUUGCACUGUGUUAAGCUCGAGAUGCUUGUAUUCGUUGAAUAUGAAGUGGACAUGACCACUGCGGUUGUCAGGCACACCGCAGUGCAAAACUUUAACCCAGAGAAUGUCGUGGAUUUCGAUCCAAUUGUCCUCUACGACGUGUGGUGGAACGGCGAUGCGACAGAGUGCUGCACAUGGCUGAAACUGAAGAAAUGGUGCUGCACACGUCGAAAAGGCUCAGAAAUCUGUCCUUAGAAAAGGGCAAGAGCACCAAAGGAAUUAUAACUGCCAUGGCCUCUAUGGCACCUUUGUCACAGGAGCAUGCUGACAUGGACAUAUUCACUGGAGAGGCCAUCGAUGUUGUCAUCGGAUCCUCAAGAGAUGACGGAAAGGUGUAUGCUGGAUCCGGGCAAUGAAUAGAAAAGGCUGCUUGGGGGACAUUGUUGCGGUCUACGUCUGACUAUGUUCUGCCGUAUGGCGUCCACAAUGUAUUGGAUGCCAGAUGAGCUUAAGAACAGAAGCGUGACCGGGACUUUGUCCAACAAGUCGCGAUCCAAGGGAAGGACUGAGGCCAGACCAGCCGUGACACCACAAAAGUUGUCAUCCUUGAAAAGCCUCCUCCGGAUCUUCAUGGGCAACCGUGUCAUGCCGGAAGACGAGAAAAAAAAAGAUUGAAAGAAGUGCGCAGGCAAUUGGUGCAGAAACUCGCUGACGCACAAAGAAGGUAGUGCUACUGGUACUGAUUGCUACGGGGCUUGUCCCAAAAGUUUGUGCACU